GUAGGUGAACCUGCGGAAGGAUCAUUAUUGAAAUAAACCUGAUGGGUUGUUGCUGGUUCUCUAGGGAGCAUGUGCACGCCUUGUCAUCUUUAUAUCUCCACCUGUGCACCCUUUGUAGACCUUCCGGGUCUAUGUUGCUUCAUUUACCCCAAUGUAUGUCAAUAGAAUGUUGUGAUUAUAAAAAAUAUACAACUUUCAGCAACGGAUCUCUUGGCUCUCGCAUCGAUGAAGAACGCAGCAUCUGACUGAC
rnacentral:misc_RNA from 1 species